rnacentral:lncRNA from 1 species
GUGUCUCUUUCCCCACAGAUGUAACCAGGUUCCUGUGGAGGACACGGCUUUGCUAAGCCUGCCUGGCUUCUGUGUCCUCCUCUGGGCCUGAGUGCAGAGGGUGAGAGUCCACAUCCCCAGAACCAUGGGGACUGAACAGGAUUACUACAGAGCAGCAAAGAAGUGGGGCACCAAAGGAAAGAGUACACAACACCUUGUGAACACAGAAUUCUGGUGGACCCAGAAUAUGUGGGAGUUCAGUGAGACUUAAAGAGGAAAAGACCUACGUGUGAACUAAUGCAAGCAGCUAAUGCCAAGCCUAACAUGCUCCAUAUGUGUUAGAAGUUUUAAGGUGAAGAAAAGAACUGGCCUUUUUCUUCCUUUAGCCCUGUGAGACAGACAUUCUGCACUUAAAUUAUCAGCCACAGGGCAUCCGUGGCUGGGAAUCCAAACAGAUGCUAAUGAAUUUGGAACAACAUUUAAGUGGCUGAACAAAAAUGGAUCCUAAACACCCCCAAAUCAAGUGCAACAAACAAGAAAUAGGCUGACACAUUUCUAUCAGGAAGGCAACCAGAAUGUCAAACUCUUGAAUGAUACUGGGUGAUCUCAGCUCUGUUUUAUCAUCUCAGUAAAUAAAUCUAGAGAUGAUAAACAACCAUAAAUACCUGCAACAAAUGCUCCAUAAAAACCAAA